ensembl:lncRNA
CACAACGUGUUACAACCCCAGAUCACCAAGAUUUCUUCUUCUAUUACCUGGACCACAUCACUGCAGAUUGAUGCUGCUCAGUUUGGUCAUCCACAACCGUAAUCCCAACAGUCAUGUCCUUGAUGAAUUCCUGCCCUGAGCCUGUGUGCUUUAAUAAAAACAAAGGGAAGCAUUGAACAGUGCCUUACAAUCAUAAAGCUUAUAGACUCCAAUAAAAGUGCAUUUAUAAAGUUAAUAAAUUAACUUACAACUUUGUCCAAGCGCUAUAAUGUGAAUGUCAUUUCCAUUAUGUCUGCAUACCAUUUUGAGGGAUACAACUGCAAAAGGACUUGCUGCGGUCCAUCCACAAGAUUAUUGAAUUCUGCGCUGAUCUUCAGUCAUUCCAAAAUAUCAUAAACAUGAAAAAUACAGAAACACGUCAAAACACUGUAAAAUAAUGAACAUAAAUAUAUAAAUAAAUCUUUCCAGAGAAAGUCAAAUGUAUUGACAAAUUUGUUUUAAUUACCAAAGACAAACUUUACCAUUCCAGACCAAUUUUUUUAAAUUACACAACACAGAAUUAUAACAAAAUAAAAGGAAAUUUAACACAUUUGUGUCGAUCCUUACUGUAUGGCUAUUUAUACAAGAUAUAGCUAUGCUAUUAUUACUGUUAUUCCAAAAUAUAUAGUUUUAAACGUAUGAAAUUUACUUAUGAGCGUAUAUUUACGCAGCAUUACACUAGGUUCUGGUGAGACACCUGAAUGACUAACGUUACUUCAGAAAACUGAAAGAAGAGUUUGUAACGUUACCUUCAGAACUUCAUCUGAACCAAGCUCAUGUCAGCGAUAUCAAAUGUAACGUUACGCGCUCCAAAAGAACUGAGGGAGGUGCUCAUCUAUGGUGCUCCUUCGUUUCCUUUAUAACAUGCGGAAAAGAGACAGUUCGAGUAGUUCUGAAUCCUCAUAGUGAUCCGUUGCGCUCUCGUGCUCUGUUUGAACGGUCUCUAACGCACCUCUGGGCUCAAAUAAUACAUACCAAACUGUAUUUUUAGCGUUCUCCAUAUAAGUUCAGCUCAGUACCGCAUGGGAGAAUAUUUGUUUUAAUAUUUAUAAGGAAAAUACUGUGGAACCGCCUGUAGUUUGAGGCUUCAGAGUGCCGCGAAACGAACAUUAACAUACAUACAGAAAAUACGACUCUUUAAACCAAGCUUACUCUUCUUAGACAAAAAAAAAAAAUACUUUUACACUUUAAGCCAAUAAAUACAAAUAUUUUACUUACCA